CGAGAACGGCAUUGCUGCAGCGGGGAAGGGGAGGACCAGCCCGGGAAGAAGCCUCGGCUGAAAGGCAUGGAGUGGAGGAGGCUCUUGACUCACAUCGGAGCCUGGAGCGGCUGAGGCAUCCUUUUCCUGAUCGGGACUCAUCUGACAGUCCAGUGAGAAGACAGGCAAAGCCAGCCUAAAUGAAAGCUGUGAUUUUAUGACCUGUGGAGAAGAGCUCUCCACAGUAGGAAACACCAAGGAAGAGGAGCUACUUACAGUUGUACCUUGAGAGAAUUCUGGGACCACCGGCGAAAAUGGGCAGAGGAGAGAGGAAAGGCCGAUAACUUCUGAGCUCUGCUGGCAGCACCAUAUCAACUUUCCUGACCUUCAGAAAUAGAUUGCUACUCUUCUCUUCCCAAGUGACAGAUAUGAAGACAGUACUCAGACUGAAGGCUGGUGGAUUUUCCAGCGACUGCCAUGGAUAGACCUAUCAAGGAGCAGAAGGCGACAACAUGCAGACAAACAGCUAUCAACCUGACCAUCCCAGGAACAAGAGCAAGCACAUUCUUCAAACAUUACUGAACUAUCUCAUGCAAUUGCUACUGAAUAAUAAGCACCAAGUAACAGGAAGCCAUAAGAGAAAACAUGUUAAGAGCAAAAUUCACAUUUCAGGAGCCAAAACAGGUAACUUCUUGGUUAGACUGAAUAUCAAUAAUGUAAGAUAGAUUUUUCUCCUUCAACAGAAUUAGAACAGAGAGAAAUCUGAACAAGCAGGAUAUUAAGUGUUCUCAUUAAAGAACUUAAAAAGCAUAAGGUGAGUAAUCAAAACACAGAGCACACUAAUCACACAUCCACAUGACAUGUCUUACACAUCUAUAACAGCUGAACUUGUUCAAGGAGCUCAGGUGUGCAGAUAUCCCUUCAGGGGGAGAAAAAAAUAAGCACAACACUUUCAUAACACUGUAGGUAACCCUCAUAUCUCAAAGAAAGGAAUGCUUUGGAAUCUAUAGACUAGCUCUAACUGACCUGGCUGCCCCUGUUUGUCACUGCAUGCUUAAUGCCAAGUUUGUAAUGCCUCAUUUUUAGAACCUGACAGCCUUCUAAUUCUUCCUAUUUUUAUUGCCAUGAUACUGAUGUAACUUUUUAAAAUGCCACAAACACUGUAAUGAUGGCUGACACAUUUAAGUUAUAUUAUUACAAUAAUAUUGGGUUUCAGUUGGAAACAUUCAGAAUGUCUCUCUAGCAAGGUUGCACUUCCUUUGAGCCAACAGUAAUUACAGAUACAGCCGAAUUCUGGUAUCCAUGGGGAGUUCCGUUCUCUGCUACAACCGCUGAUAAUGGAACCGUGUGUACCAGGACAUUGAGUCAAUGGGGCUAAGGGGGUUAAGUUCCUGGAGGCUCCAGAAACUGGGAGAAAAGGCAAAAGAGGGGCCUAAAAAGUAUGUGUGUGGGGGGGGGGAGUGCUGGUCUGCAGCAAUGCCCCCCAAAUUUCCCAAAUCUGGCUUUUCCCGAGAAAAAUUACUUAAUUUUUUUUUUUACACAAAUGAGCCACAAAAUUAUUAUUAUUAUUGUUAUUAUUACAUUUAUAUCCCGCUCUUCCUCCAAGGAGCCCAGAGCGGUGUACUACAUACUUAAGUUUCUCUUUCACAACAACCCUGUGAAGUAGGCUAGGCUGAGAGAGAAGUGACUGGCCCAGAGUCACCCAGCUACUAUUAUGGCUGAAUGGGGAUUUGAACUCGGGUCUCCCUGGUCCUAGUCCAGCACUCUAACCACUAUACCACGCUGGCUCUCAAUGGCUCCUCUCUUCAAAAGGGUGGUUGGAAAUGACCUUGGAGGUCAUUUUCAGCCACUCUGAACCCACAGAACUAAUCAAUUUUUAAUCGUUUCCCACCCACAUUUGCUGAGGUCAGGUGUCAAUUACCCGACCACAGAAACACGAAACCGCGGGUGUUGGAUCCAUGAAUGGCAAAGUUUCCCUGUAUCAAAAAAGGUUGGAAGAAAGAAACUUAGGUCAACUUGUGAGUCUGGGGCACAGAAAAUGAGAUGUUAAUUAGAAAGAAACUGGACAGCCUAUACAUUUAUUCCUCUAGCCUGUUCCCCAUUCCCAUGUCCCAGCAUGAUACUAUUCUUUCUACAUGGGGUGUUGCCCUGUGAUUCUUGCCAUGCAAAUGAACAAGCAAGAAGGUACAGUAAAAACAGCGUGAGAGCUUAAUGCACAUCUGUCCCACAAGCAUAGCCCAUACAGAACACAUUCAGUGGGCCAGAUAUAAAUAACAUAUUUGUUGAACAGUUCAGAGAUGGAGUUCUAGAGAAGAACUGGAGAGUUCUCUGUCUUUCAACUCACCUCUUUUACACUGUGGGUUACGGCCCAUGUGAGAAAAACUCUUGACAUCACCUGGAAAGCAGUCAGGACAACAGAAGAGGGAACAAUUCCUGAAAAGAAAAGAGUCAGUGCGUCUUCUGAGUUUCAUUCACUAAAAAUAUUUUACUACGUCCUAGAUUAUUAAUAUGAUCUGGAUAAGGACACAUUUCUGAGAACGAUUUGUACAAUACAGCACAGUAACAUCCUCUGAUUAGACUAAAAAACAACCACUCAUAAAUUUUACACUGAUUUUCUGGUUAAGCUAGUGGCCACUAACAUACAACCAUUUCCCAAAUACAGUAAUUUAAUGCAAUGCAUAAGAUUGUUUUUAAAUACAUUAUUAAACAUCCAGGAUUUCAAAAAAUAUCCAAACCAACAACAACAAAAUUCUAUCAUAGAAGAGAUCCUGUCACAGUCCUCAAUUAUAUUCUUAAGCUACAUUCUCACAAUCACAUUGAUCCUGGUUAAAGAGUUAACCAAGAUUGCUGAGCCACGCAGAGCUGGAGAUUUUUCAGACAAUCCUGGUCAAACCACUGCGGUUAGCUGCAUUUAACCAAGACAGAGAACCAGGAUCUGCACUCUCUCAACCAGCUCUGCAGGGCUCAGCAAUCCUGAUUAACUCUUUAAUCAGGAUUAUCAUAAUUCUGAGAACUCAGCCUUACAAGAUAACACAAUUUCUGUGCUAUCUAUCUAUCUAUCUAUCUAUCUAUCUAUCUAUUUAUCUAUAAUUCUCUUAAACGUACCCGUUGCUAAUACCACGUGUGGCAGCUUUCGCGAGAGUUCACAAGUCAGCUGCUGGGGGGAAAGUGAAAGGGCAGGCUAAUGGAUCGCCGAGAGAAAGUGGUGCUGGGGAAAGCAGCGGUGGCGGAGGCUGAAAUGGGCCAAGAACAGGGGUAGAGUUGAGGGGGAGGAAAGGGGAGAGGCCUGAGAACGAGUGGGGUGAGGGGAGAGAACUAGAGGCGCAGAUGCUUUGCGCCUGGGCCAGCUAGUAUAGAAAUAUUUUAUCAACUCUUGCAAACAAUGCAUUAUGAUACCAAUGCAUUAAUAUACCACCAUCUAUGUACAUAGUACACUGCAAAGAAUGAGAGAACAGGUCCCUUUCCCAAAGAGCCCACAAUCUAAAAUCAACACACAGGAGAGAAUUGAGUAAAGGGAUGGAAAAUAGAGGCAGGAAUAAAUAAUUCCUUCAGAAAGCAAGGACAGGGGAGAAUAUGAGAUUAUUUCAUUUACAUGUACUUAGGCCGAGUUAUGACAAGUAUGGGGAUAAGACAGAGGCAGCACAACUAAAAACAGGAGCAAUGUACACAUGAAACUGAUUUCUUCACGUAUUAAAGGGGCAGCAACAAAUCUGGAUGGAUGACUAGCAAAUUGUCAGCUAUCUUUCACAUUUUAUAUUCAAUGCUUCAUACUCUGGAUACAGUGGCUCUGCACAAUGUUGUGUUGCAUUAGCAGGGCGGCAGAGAUCUCCAUGACUGCACAAACGUUGUCUUAGCCAGUGCUCUGGGCUGAGCUCCAACAGGAAAUGUGUGCAGAAGGAGAAAGGGAAUGAUUUUAUGUUCCUAUCUCCUCCAUCCCAAAAUAUUUUUUGGCUUCAGAAAUAUCUCCCCAACUUUAAAUAGCAAAAAAGAAAGAAAGAAAAGAAAAGGAUUUUGAAAUAGACAGGUUUUUGUUUUUGAGGGGGACAAACUCUAAUGCUAGUUCAGUGGCUUUUCAUCCAUGUGUACAACAACUAAUCCAAAUGCAUUAUGAAAGAGACAUGAGAUGGGGUAGGAUCAUGCAUUUUCUGAUCAGGCCAAUAUAUUUUGCUAUUUAAAAUGCAGUGUCACAUCACAGUCUACACAACUAUCACGAAAUCUCCCAUAUGAAAGCAAUAAAUGUAACAACUGUA